AAAAGAUUUUCAGAUUUCAAAGUGGGCCGCGGCAUUCUUCAGUUUGGGAACCGCUGUGCUAAGCAAAAUGCAGCUCUGGCGUGGAAAGAACCCUAACCCUAAACAUAAAGACGGGGAAAAACAACAAACAUAAACAUAAAGACGAUAAACAUAAACAUAAAGACGGGAAGACGUAAAAACGAAAAAAAUAAACAUAAAGACGCGAAAAACGACAAACAUAAACACUGGAAGACGACAAACAUGAACAGAAAGACGGGAAAAACAACAAACAUAAACAUAAAGACGCGAAAAACGACAAAUAUAAAGACGCGAAAAACGAAAAACAUAAAGACGAGUAAAACGACAAACAUAAACGUAAAGACGCGAAAAACGACAAACAUAAAGACGGGAAGACGACAAACAUGAACAUAAAGACGGGAAAAACAACAAACAUAAACAUAACGACGCGAAAAACGACAAACAUAAACAUAACGACGCGAAAAACGACAAACAAAGACAGGAAAAUUGACAACCAUAAACAUAAAGACGGGAAGACGACAAACAUAAACAUAAAGACGGGAAGACGGAAAAACGACAAACAUAAACAUAAAGACGGGAAAAACGACAAACAUAAACAUAAAGACGGGAAAAACGACAAACAUAGACGCAAAAACGACAAACAUAAAGACGGGAAGACGGGAAAACGACAAACAUAAACAUAAACAUAAAGACGGGAAGACGUAAAAACGACAAACAUAAACAUAAAGACGGGAAAAUCGACAAACAUAAACAUGAAGACGGGAAGACGACAAACUUAAACAUAAAGACGGGAAAAACAACAAACAUAAACAUAAAGACGGGAAGAUGUAAAAACGACAAACAUAAACAUAAAGACGCGAAAAACGACAGACAUAAAGACGCGAAAAACGACAAACAUAAAGACGGGAAAAACGACAAACAAAGAUAAAGACG
ensembl:lncRNA